ensembl:lncRNA
UCUAAAUGAUGGACGACUCAUAGCAUUACAGUCUAAAUGAUAAGAUUCACAUAGUAUUACAGUCUAAAUGAUGGACGACUCAUAGCAUUACAGUCUAAAUGAUGGAGGACUCAUAGUAUUACAGUCUAAAUGAUGGAGGAUUCACAUAGUAUUACAGUCUAAAUGAUGGACGACUCAUAGCAUUACAGUCUAAAUGAUGGAGGACUCAUAGUAUUACAGUCUAAAUGAUGGAGGAUUCACAUAGUAUUACAGUCUAAAUGAUGGAGGAUUCACAUAGUAUUACAGUCUAAAUGAUGGAGGACUCAUAGUAUUACAGUCUAAAUGAUGGAGGAUUCACAUAGUAUUACAGUCUAAAUGAUGGACGACUCAUAGCAUUACAGUCUAAAUGAUGGAGGACUCAUAGUAUUACAGUCUAAAUAAUGGAGGAUUCACAUAGUAUUACAGUCUAAAUGAUGGACGACUCAUAGCAUUACAGUCUAAAUGAUGGAGGACAGUCUAAAUAAUGGAGGACUCAUAGCAUUACAGUCUAAAUGAUGGAGGACGCAUAGUAUUACAGUCUAAAUAAUGGAGGACUCAUAGCAUUACAGUCUAAAUGAUGGAGGACGCAUAGUAUUACAGUCUAAAUAAUGGAGGAUUCAUAUAGUAUUACAGUCUAAAUAAUGGAGGACUCACAUAGUAUUACAGUCUAAAAGAACAAUGGAACCAAGAUUGUAUGGACAGUAUUCUGCAUCUGUAUUGCUUCUCCACUCAGUUGGUGCUGUAAGCCUCUGUGGCCAUUCGCAGUGAGUGGGAAAUUAUGUCAUCUUCAAUUUCAUACAGCACUGUAGAUGUAAAUGAUUUUAUUGCCAUAUUUGAAACACUACCAGGGGUACUGUAUUAUAUAAUUAUUUUAGCAAAUAUGAUGUGUUGCAUAUAGCACGAAACAUGUUUGUUAGGAAGGGAUAUUCUUCAAAUUAGCAUCAGAAUCCCCUAUUGGCUCAGGAGAUGGUGUGGCGGUUGCAAUGCAUUUGUAUGAACCUGUUAACCAGGCAGGAGUGCAUGAUGGGAUCCUUCAUUUUUCCUUCAGAAAGAGGAAUGUGAGGCAGGGGGAGUUUGUUAAAGAGUCAGAGCCCGUACUCAGCAAUGACUCAUCGGGAGAGAAAGAAGGAAAGAAAGAAAGAAAGAGAGAGACAGAGGGAGAAAGAGGGGAACCCACAUGAAUGAGCAGGUGCCUCGGGGGGAACACAGAGAGAGGGGGGGGAAAUGGGAAGAGAGAAGCCUAGAAAGCAAAUUAUGCUGCAUCUCCCUCCCACGCAGUCCGCCCACACGCUCCUGCUCUCCAUCCAUACAGAGGAGAGCAUCAGCGUCAGUCAGGGCUCUUCCAACCCCACCCCGUCCCUAGCACCAUACGCUGCGUCAACCAGCCCAAUCCUGCCUCUCCAAUAACCGAGCCUUCCUCCCCUCUCCUCUCCCUCCCUGGAGACGCCACACUACUGUUCGGCUCCAUAAUUAGACUCCUCAGGCCUGUGUUUUUUUUAACCUUGAGAGCAGCUUGGAAGACAAUCAAGGCACACAUGCGUAAUUACACCAGGCAGACGUGUAGCCAGAAUCUUACUUCCAUUUGCUUAUUUGUAUACAAUUAGCUGUAGGUUUCAGGAGGGGAUCAAAGAAGCAUGUCAUCUCAGUUAAAUUGAUAAAAACGUAAUCUUACUUGGAUUUAGUAGCAUUACCAUCUGAAGGUCACAGGGAUGCCACAAUGUCUAAACUACACCAUAUUGUACAGCUGUUAAACACUCCCCCAAUGCCUCCUCCUACUCACCUGUCCAGUAUAUGUGUUCAGGGCUGGGGGUCCAGGGGCUGCCCUCAUUGCUGCUUGCAGUUGGACAGCUUGCGGAUGCGGCUGUAGGUGGACACUCCUUUGCGUGAGGGGUUGGAGGAGGAGGAGGAGGAGAGGCGCUCUGAUCGGGACCUGGUCCUGCUGGUGGUUGGGUAGUGAUCCUGGUCUGUCUCCGUGCCGUUCACACAUAGGGUCCUGAGCCCCAGCCCCAGCCCCGGCCCCACACAACCCCCCUGGUGCCCGUUCUGCUCCAGCCCAUCCUCAUGCACCCGACCUGGGGAGAGAACACAGAGACGUGAAUUAGAGGUUGGAAGUCAGUGGUCUAAGCUGACUCAGGGAAACAUACGCUGUCAGCCAUCAGGUUAGACUCCUGGUGGAAGUCAGCUUUAUGCACAGAUCUGGGAUCAGCUUACUCCCCCCAAACCAUUAGGCGGAAAUGAAAAAAUGCCCUUAAAUCAUUGUCAGAUAAGUAUCUAGGAGGACGUUUUUCCUCCACACUGUUAGUAACAGGUCAGAGUGACCCAAGAUAAAUGGGGGAGGUGAGCACUGAGCAGCCUUGAAGAAGGUUUGUAGACGGGCAAAAACUGUUGGGAGACCUUUAUUAAAUGUAAGCAUAUUUUCAC